AGUCCUAGCAUGAAAUCUUGGUAACCAAAAUCCGCGAACCACAUAACAACACAAAUGUACCGAUGAGCACUACCUAACCAGUACCACAAACACCAAAGACAUUACCGGACGCGCCGCCACGCGCCACCACAAGCGGCGGCGAGUGGGCCCCACGUGCCACCCCGAAACUUCUAAAUCUACACAAACUCCCAACAUCAACCUUAUAGAGCACAGCAAAAGGAACACUUUUAAUACCUGAGGUUAAGCUUGGUUCGGCCUUAAACUGCCCCAAACAGCCACCACAAACACCACCCCCAAAUCUGCAAACUAGUGCCCCAAACUUCAAACUUAGAUCACAAAAGAGGCAUAAACAUCUCUAGAGGAAGGAGGAGAGCAAGACUCACCCAACUCCGGCCUAAAACGCCGUCGAAACCAACGAAAAUCCGGCAAGACCACCACAGCUCCUCCACCUAGCAGCGGCGUCUAGGCGGCGUCUAGGCGGCGAGACGACGAGCGGCGUUGCCCUAGAAGUGAAGAGGAGGUCUGUGCGCACCGGACGAGACCGGCAGCGGACAAAUCGGCGACCGGACGGUGGACUUCUGCUCGGCGAACCACGUGAAGCUUCUCCGGCCAACAGCUCUAUCUCCGGCCUGCGACGCCGUGCUACACCGCCCUAGACUUGGAGGCGACGUUCGACUGAGUUGAACGGGACCGGCGGCAGUCAAGGCGGUGGUCGGACGGUGGACUUCUGCUCCGGCAAGGAUGGGGUCGUGCGUGCGGGUCGGGAGGAAGAGAGAGAAAGCUGCACGGGGGCUCUAAGCAAAAUUAGGGUUUUCUGAAAAUACCCACACACAUUUUCCUAUUUAUACUAAAAUCCCAUAAAGUCACAACUUCUGCUGACCAUAACUUUCUCAUACGAAGUCCGUUUUACGCGUGCCACGUGUCUACGAACUCGUAUCGUCGUGCUCUACAACUUCCGUGAAGGAAGUUUCAUGAGAAACCCAAUGAAUUAGAAAGUCAACUCUUGACCCUUCAGAACCAUAAAACCGGUUCAGGCAAUUUACGCAUCCGAACCCUUCCGCUCUUCCUUCGAACUUCAAAACACACUAACUUCUAACUCAAAAAUUCCUAAAUAAAAUUAGAAACUAAUAUCAAAUUUCCGGGGUAUCACAAACUCGUCGGCUAGUUUCUUACCUAUAGCCGACGAGUUAUUUCGUCGGCUAUUCUCUUAGCUUUAGCCGACGAAACGCUUAAUAUAUUCGUCGGCUAUAGUAUGUAAUAAAAAAAAUAAAAAAUAACUAAAGCCGACGAAACAUACCGUAUUUCGUCAGCUUUGAAGGGUUUAGCCGACGAAACAUUCCAUAAUUCGUCGGCUAAACCCUAUUAAAAAUAAUUAAAAAUACUAUAGCCGACGAAUUAUGGCGUAUUUCGUCGGCUAUAAGUCCAUUCCAGUAUAUAAAAAAAAACCCGAAAUUUUUAAAUUACCAUUCCAAGCAAGCUGCAAAAAACACAAAAACAAUUCCAUAUAACCAACAACAAGCACAUAAAAGUAUAUAAUUCAUCAACUACACAAAAUCUAGAUCGUCUAAAUUAAUAUCCGGUUCUGGGGGUUGCUGCGGAGCUUGCGGCGGCUGGGGUAGCGGUAUGGGCGGAGGCAAGGGCGGAGCCGGAAGUCCCUGGAGCUGGGCAGCUGUAAAGUCCUGCAUAUACUGGAACAUCUGCUGCUGCUGGGCCUGCUGGAUGACAUGUACCUCGGCAUUAUAGGCUGCCUGCGUGGCAUUAUAGGUUGCCUGCGCUGCAUUAUAGGCAACAUGAGCAGCUUGCUGUUCCCGUAGUCUCUGAAGUUCCGACUGUAGCAGCUGAGUCAUCCUGGUGGUCAUGGUCCUGCUGCUGGUCGAGGCUAUCUUUCGUUGAAAUCCUGGAGUGGUCUUCAGGACCCCUUCGCCCUUCUUUCCUAGACCCCGGCAGUAGAAGUUGUUUGCUCACGGUGGGAAGGCUGUGCCCAUGAUCCUCGCCCCAACCGUCGGAUCCGAAGUGUCGAUCCGGGACCUGGCUUCGGACAUCUCUUCCUCCUGCGUGUCCGGCCAUGUCUCCCUUAUUAUAGCACUCAUCACCUCGUCACUAGCCUCCCUCACCUUCGCCUAAUUGGAUAGGAAAAAAAUAAUUAAUUAACAUUUUCACAUAUAUAUAAGUAAAAUUAAAAAUUUAAAAACGUAAGAUGACUUACAAUAUCCUCCUGGGAGUCAGGAUAUGCCUUCUCGUACGUAUAGACGUACUGGUUGACCUCUAGAUGUUCCCUGGCCGCCUCGUCCAGGAAGACAGUGAACGGUCUAGAACCGGCAUGAUGGUUCCUUNNNNNNNNNNNNNNNNNNNNGAGGGAGAGGGAGCAGAGGCGGAGACCGGGAGAGGGAGCGGAGGCGGAGGAGGGGAAAUUCGGAGAGGGAGAGGAGGCGGAGGCUAGGGCUUUCAACCAGUCGAGCGCUGGGUUAUACCCGAAAACUUUAGCCGACGAAAUUAUUAUUUUGUCGGCUAAAGAAAAUAAUUUCGUCGGCUAAAAUAAUAAUCUCGUCGGCUAAACCUUUGAAAUUCGUCGGCUAUAGUACUUUUUAUACAUUCGUCAAACUGUGAUUGUGAUUGUGAUUAUCAAAUUUGAGAAACGAAAAUCCGACCGUCAGAUCUGACCAUCAUGAUAAAAUACAUGUAUGGGAAAACACUUGAACUUGAUCCGACAAGGUGAAGGGCUCGAUCUGGACGGUCAAUCCAUUAAGUCAAACCCCUAAACUCACGGAAAAGGUCAUUGGACUGUCUAAAUCACGUAUUUUGGCCGGACCUUCAACUGAAAAUAGUUUCAAACCGAUGAGACGCAACAAGUCGUAUAAAAAUUUUACGCAAAAUAACCACCGAAGAUACAGCUACUCAUAGGGAGAAAGAAUGAAAAAUUCCAUUGACCGCAACUAUCGGCACCGAAACUUUACCGGAAUACUGUGAUUUUUCAACCGUGGACGUAUUUCGCCAUUCUGGUCAUAUUUUAUUUCACGACUUUUUUGCGUUUGAAGGUUUUACGUAUAGUUUGUUUUUGAAACGGAACAUUUACUUAACACUUGGUAAAUAAGUUAUACAACAUUAAUAGGUAUGUUGUGGUUAUGAUGAUCAAACUUGAGAAACGGAAAUCCGACGGUUAGAUCUGACAAUCAUGAUAAAAUACAUGUAUGGGAAAAAAUGCAGCUUGAUCCGACAAGGUUAAGUGCUCGAUCCGGACGGUCAAUCCCGUAAGUCAAACCCCUAAAUGCACGGAAAAGGUCGUUGGACCGUCUAAAUUUCGUAUUUUGGCCGGACUUUCAACUGAAAAUAUUUUCAAAUCGAUGAGACGCAACAAGUCGUAUAAAAAUUUUACGCAAAAUAACCACCGAAGAUAGGGCUACAGUAUGUAACAGAAAAAGUUUAGGGUUUAGCCGACGAAUACUCUAAUACAUUCGUCGGCUAUAGUAUGUAAUAAAAAAAUAAAAAAAUUAAUAAAGCCGACGAAAUAUUAGGGUAUUCGUCGGCUAAGAUGGUUUUAGCCGACGACUUCUAAUAUACUUCGUCGGCUAAGAUGGUUUUAGCCGACGACUUCUAAUUGACUUUGUCGGCUAAGAUGAUUUUAACCGACGACUUCUAAUAUAAUUCGUCGGCUAAGAUNNNN
rnacentral:lncRNA from 1 species